rnacentral:rRNA from 1 species
AACGAACGCUGGCGGCGUGUUUAAGACAUGCAAGUCGCACGGGAUAAGACAUGUAGUAAUACUUGUUUUAUUUAGUGGCGCACGGGUGAGUAACACGUGAAUUACAUGCCCUAUAGUGGGGAAUAGCCCAGGGAAACUUGGAUUAAUACCCCAUGGUAUCGAAAGAUUAAAGGUGGCCGCAAGGCUGUCGCUAUAGGAUUGGUUCGCGCCCUAUCAGCUUGUUGGUGAGGUAACGGCUCACCAAGGCAAUGACGGGUACCUGGUCUGAGAGGACGAGCAGGCACACUGGAACUGAGACACAGUCCAGACACCUACGGGUGGCAGCAGUCGAGAAUAAUUCACAAUGGGGGCAACCCUGAUGGUGCAACGCCGCGUGGAGGAUGACGGUCUUCGGAUUGUAAACUCCUGUCAUCUGGGAGAAAGACCUGACGGUAAAUAGCCGGCAGGGUUGAUAGUACCAGAAGAGGAAGGGACGGCUAACUUCGUGCCAGCAGCCGCAGUAA